rnacentral:tRNA from 1 species
UCCCUGAUUGUCCAGUGGCUAAGAUUCUGCGCUCCCAAUGCAGGGCCCCUGGGUUCAAUUCCUGGUCAGGGAG